UUUAACACCAGUGAUGUCGUAAGGGAGAAUAAUGAUAUUACCUUACUAAUAGUGUUGUCAAAAGUUGGUGCCANAANACUCGGUAAUGCCAAAAACGCAAACGUUAAUCAUCUUAAACAGGCGUAAAGGGUUUGUAGGCUGCUUUUUGUAGUUUUAACUUUAAUAGAUCGAANAUAAAAUUCAUAAAAAGCUAGAAUCAAAUAGAGGUUAAAUUGUAUAAUGCUUANAANAGGGUCNAUAUCCGUAGAUCCUAAGUGGAAUACUCNAGGCGAAAGCCACUUUCCAUUAAUGAUUGACGCUGANAAACGAAGGUUAGGGUAGGAAAUNGGAUGUGCGACUUGAAAAGUCUAAAUACUGUAUUGUACUUAAAGUACAUUAUCAUUCGUCUGGUAAUAGCCCACCUGGAUAUGCCAGAUAUAUUUUUACCAGUAAUGGUCUUGUGUUAAGCUUCNGGGUAAAGUUAAUUAAAGGUUAUCCNNNNNNNNNNNNNNNNNUUAAAGGUAAGAGUGGUAAUCUUAAACCUCAAGUAUUUUUAGAACAUACAGAUGAAAGAGCAGUAAAUUUUUUUAGAAAUUACUUAAAUUUAAAUCCAAAAGUUCAUUNUAGACAAAGAGAUAAUCGAAAACUAACUUAUUCCAUCAAAAUAACUAGUGUAAAAGACUUAAAUAGUAUUAUUCAAUUUUUAGAUAGAACAGAGGGCUUAUUAGGAAACAAAUUAUUUCAAUAUAAUGAAUGGAAAGAUCGAUUUUUUUCUAAAUAAUNUUAAAGGUUUUUUUUAUAUAAUUUCAAUUAUAUGUCCUUAGUAAAUUCUCAAAUUAGUGCUUGAGCCGUAUGCGCUGAAAGGUGCAAGUACGGUUCUUAGGGGGGGAAAGCCCGAGAGGGCCUACCUAUCCCAACUAGAUACCCAGGUACCCCUAUCUGUCAACGAUGAAUGGUAGUCUUUACUUAAAAAAAGUAGAGGCGAAGUUAACACGAUAACCAUUCCGCCUUGUGAGUACGAUUGCAAAAUUGAAAAC
rnacentral:rRNA from 1 species